rnacentral:rRNA from 1 species
UACGUAGGCAGCAAGCGUUGUUCGGAAUUAGCUGGGCGUAAAGAGUGUGUAGGCGGUGCUCCAAGUCUGGUGUGAAAUCUCCCGGCUUAACUGGGAGGGUGCAUUAGAAACUGGAAUGCUAGAGGAUGGGAGAGGUAAGCGGAAUUCCUGGUGUAGCGGUGAAAUGCGUAGAUAUCAGGAGGAACACCUGUGGUGUAGACAGCUUACUGGACCAUUUCUGACGCUGAGACACGAAAGCGUGGGUAGCAAACAGG